rnacentral:rRNA from 1 species
UACGUAGGGUGCGAGCGUUGUCCGGAAUUAUUGGGCGUAAAGGGCUCGUAGGCGGUUUGUCGCGUCGGGAGUGAAAACCUCGGGCUUAACUCGGGGCUUGCUUUCGAUACGGGCAGACUGGAGGUAUGCAGGGGAGAACGGAAUUCCUGGUGUAGCGGUGAAAUGCGCAGAUAUCAGGAGGAACACCGGUGGCGAAGGCGGUUCUCUGGGCAUGACCUGACGCCGAGGAGCGAAAGUGUGGGGAGCGAACAGG